AGUGAACGCUGGCGGUAGGCCUAACACAUGCAAGUCGAACGGCAGCACAGUAAGAGCUUGCUCUUACGGGUGGCGAGUGGCGGACGGGUGAGGAAUACAUCGGAAUCUACUUUUUCGUGGGGGAUAACGUAGGGAAACUUACGCUACUACCGCAUACGACCUACGGGUGAAAGCAGUGGAUCUUCGGACCUUGCGCGAUUGAAUGAGCCGAUGUCGGAUUAGCUAGUUGGCGGGGUAAAGGCCCACCAAGGCGACGAUCCGUAGCUGGUCUGAGAGGAUGAUCAGCCACACUGGAACUGAGACACGGUCCAGACUCCUACGGGAGGCAGCAGUGGGGAAUAUUGGACAAUGGGCGCAAGCCUGAUCCAGCCAUACCGCGUGAGUGAAGAAGGCCUUCGGGUUGUAAAGCCCUUUUGUUGGGAAAGAAAAGCAGCAGGAUAAUACCCCGAUGUUCUGACGGUACCCAAAGAAUAAGCACCGGCUAACUUCGUG
rnacentral:rRNA from 1 species